GGAAGGUGGGGAGUGACGUCAAGUCCUCAUGGCCUUUAUGUCUAGGGCUACACACGUACUACAAUGGCCGGUACAAAGGGCAGCCACUCAGCGAUGAGGCGCUAAUCCCAUAAAGCCGGUCUCAGUCCGGAUCGCAGUCUGCAACUCGACUGCGUGAAGUUGGAAUCGCUAGUAAUCGUAGAUCAGCAUGCUACGGUGAAUACGUUCCCGGGCCUU
rnacentral:rRNA from 1 species